AUCGCAUUGAUUGUUAGAGAUCUCGCUAGUUUCUAUUAAUACUUUGUAUUUUCUUGAUUUAUCUCUUAGUGAUGAUGACGACUCUGAGAAUGAGUCGGCACUUGAAAUUCAGCCAUACUUGAUGGAAGAAAAAUUGUCGAAGCACUUGAUAAUCACUUGACUGCUAUCCAAAGGGACCAUGAACUCAGGUCCCAGAUAGAAGAAAGGAAAAUAAGAAGUGAUGCGGCUUAUGAAGGGGCCAAAAGAAAAGAGAAAGCUCUCCUGGAAGAAAAACUCCGCCAAGAAAAAGCCAAAGCAGAAGCUGAGGCAAAACUCAGAGCUGAAGAAGCAAAUAGGGCUGCAAUGGAAGCUCAGAGAAGAGAAGCAAAAGAGGCUGCUGAAAGGGAGGCCAAUGAAGCGUCAAGCCAGGCUGUUGUUCAGAAGGAAGCUUUAGGAUUGCAAGCUAAAGCCAAAACCAAGG